AUUGAACGCUGGCGGCAGGCCUAACACAUGCAAGUCGAACGGUAACAGGAAGAAGCUUGCUUCUUUGCUGACGAGUGGCGGACGGGUGAGUAAUGUCUGGGAAACUGCCUGAUGGAGGGGGAUAACUACUGGAAACGGUAGCUAAUACCGCAUAACGUCGCAAGACCAAAGAGGGGGACCUUCGGGCCUCUUGCCAUCGGAUGUGCCCAGAUGGGAUUAGCUAGUAGGUGGGGUAACGGCUCACCUAGGCGACGAUCCCUAGCUGGUCUGAGAGGAUGACCGGCCACACUGGAAAUGAGACACGGCCCCGACCCCUCGGGGAGGGCGCGGGGGGGAAUAUUGCAAAAUGGGGGCGGGCCUUAAGGAGCCUGCGGGGGGGUAAAAAAAAGGCCUUGGGUUUGUAAAUUACUUUCCGGGGGGAGGAAGGAGAAAAAGUUAAUACCUUUUCCCAUUGACGUUCCCCGGAGAAAAAGCCCCGGGAAACUCC
rnacentral:rRNA from 1 species